rnacentral:rRNA from 1 species
GACGAACGCUGGCGGCGUGCUUAACACAUGCAAGUCGAACGGAAAGGCCCUGCUUUUGUGGGGUGCUCGAGUGGCGAACGGGUGAGUAACACGUGAGUAACCUGCCCUUGACUUUGGGAUAACUUCAGGAAACUGGGGCUAAUACCGGAUAGGAGCUCCUGCUGCAUGGUGGGGGUUGGAAAGUUUCGGCGGUUGGGGAUGGACUCGCGGCUUAUCAGCUUGUUGGUGGGGUAGUGGCUUACCAAGGCUUUGACGGGUAGCCGGCCUGAGAGGGUGACCGGCCACAUUGGGACUGAGAGACGGCCCAGACGCCUACGGGAGGCAGCGGUGGGGAAUAUUGCACAAUGGGCGGAAGCCUGAUGCAGCAACGCCGCGUGCGGGAUGACGGCCUUCGGGUUGUAAACCGCUUUCGCCUGUGACGAAGCGUGAGUGACGGUAAUGGGUAAAGAAGCACCGGCUAACUACGUG